rnacentral:lncRNA from 1 species
GGGCCAUCUUUAUUUGACAUGUAAGGAAGCAAGCGCUUUCCCAAUCAUUAAAAAAAGAUAAAGGUUAGAAAAGAAAAAAAAUCUCUUAGUGGUUCUUAAGAUACAUGCUUCCAAUAAAACAUGUUAGAACAUGGUUUAAAAUUUUUUGAUAUUAUUUAAAAGACUACACAAAACUUUAUUAUAGAAACUAUAAAUUAUUUACAAAAAAUUUAGAAAUAAACAA